rnacentral:rRNA from 1 species
UACGGGGGGGGCGAGCGUUGUUCGGAAUCACUGGGCGUAAAGGGCGCGUAGGCGGCCCGCACAAGUCUGCGGUGAAAACCCCCGGCUUAACCGGGGGCCGGCCGUGGAAACUGUCGGGCUGGAGGCUGGGAGAGGGCAGCGGAAUUCCCGGUGUAGCGGUGAAAUGCGUAGAGAUCGGGAGGAACACCUGCGGCGAAGGCGGGUUGCUGGGCUGACACUGACGCUGAUGCGCGAAAGCCAGGGGAGCGAACGGG